UGAGGAAUAUUGGUCAAUGGUCGAGAGACUGAACCAGCCAAGUCGCGUGAAGGAUGACUGCCCUAUGGGUUGUAAACUUCUUUUACAAGGGAAUAAAAUGAGAUACGUGUAUUUUAUUGCAUGUACCUUGGGAAUAAGCAUCGGCUAACUCCGUGCCAGCAGCCGCGGUAAUACGGAGGAUGCGAGCGUUAUCCGGAUUUAUUGGGUUUAAAGGGUGCGUAGGUGGGCUGUUAAGUCAGCGGUGAAAGUUUGUCGCUUAACGAUAAAAUUGCCGUUGAAACUGGUAGUCUUGAGUAUAGAUGAAGUAGGCGGAAUGCGUGGUGUAGCGGUGAAAUGCAUAGAGAUCACGCAGAACUCCGAUUGCGAAGGCAGCUUACUAAGGUAUAACUGACACUGAAGAACGAAAGCGUGGGUAUCAAACAGG
rnacentral:rRNA from 1 species